rnacentral:rRNA from 1 species
GACGAACGCUGGCGGCGUGCUUAACACAUGCAAGUCGAACGGAAAGGCCCUGCUUUUGUGGGGUGCUCGAGUGGCGAACGGGUGAGUAACACGUGAGUAACCUGCCCUUGACUUUGGGAUAACUUCAGGAAACUGGGGCUAAUACCGGCUAGGAUCUCCUGCUGCAUGGUGGGGGUUGGAAAGUUUCGGCGGUUGGGGAUGGACUCGCGGCUUAUCAGCUUGUUGGUGGGGUAGUGGAUUACCAAGGCUUUGACGGGUAGCCGGCCUGAGAGGGUGACCGGCCACAUUGGGACUGAGAUACGGCCCAGACUCCUACGGGAGGCAGCAGUGGGGAAUAUUGCACAAUGGGCGGAAGCCUGAUGCAGCCCCGCCGCGUGCGGGAUGACGGCCUUCGGGUUGUAAACCGCUUUCGCCUGUGACGAAGCGUGAGUGACGGUAAUGGGUAAAGAAGCACCGGCUAACUACGUG